CGCCAGACUCCUACGGGAGGCAGCAGUGAGGAAUAUUGCACAAUGGGGGGAACCCUGAUGCAGCGACGCCGCGUGGGUGAAGGAGCACCUCGGUGCGUAAAGCCCUAUCGGCAGGGAAGAAAAGCGAACAGGUUCGCCUGGACGGUACCUGACUAAGAAGCCCCGGCUAACUACGUGCCAGCAGCCGCGGUAAUACGUAGGGGGCAAGCGUUAUCCGGAUUCACUGGGUGUAAAGGGAGCGUAGACGGCGACGCAAGUCUGGAGUGAAAGCCCGGGGCCCAACCCCGGGACUGCUUUGGAAACUGUAUAGCUGGAGUGCAGGAGAGGUAAGUGGAAUUCCUAGUGUAGCGGUGAAAUGCGUAGAUAUUAGGAGGAACACCAGUGGCGAAGGCGGCCUGCUGGACGACAACUGACGGUGAGGCGCGAAAGCGUGGGGAGCAAACAGGAUUAGAUACCCCGGUA
rnacentral:rRNA from 1 species